AUACAUUCUCGGCCUUUUGGUUAAGAUCAAGUGUCGACUCACAUGAUAUUAACUCAAUUUUUUCUGGGGGAAAGUCCACCACGGUAAGCUUGCUACUGGGGCUUUCAGGUGUCAUCUUGGUAUUUGUCUUAAUUAAUUUUCAGGUUAAUAAAAACUUU
rnacentral:snRNA from 1 species